GACGAACGCUGGCGGCGUGCCUAAUACAUGCAAGUAGAACGCUGAAGGAGGAGCUUGCUUCUCUGGAUGAGUUGCGAACGGGUGAGUAACGCGUAGGUAACCUGCCUGGUAGCGGGGGAUAACUAUUGGAAACGAUAGCUAAUACCGCAUAAGAGUAAAUGUCGCAUGACAUUUGCUUAAAAGGUGCAAUUGCAUCACUACCAGAUGGACCUGCGUUGUAUUAGCUAGUUGGUGAGGUAACGGCUCACCAAGGCAACGAUACAUAGCCGACCUGAGAGGGUGAUCGGCCACACUGGGACUGAGACACGGCCCAGACUCCUACGGGAGGCAGCAGUAGGGAAUCUUCGGCAAUGGACGGAAGUCUGACCGAGCAACGCCGCGUGAGUGAAGAAGGUUUUCGGAUCGUAAAGCUCUGUUGUAAGAGAAGAACGAGUGUGAGAGUGGAAAGUUCACACUGUGACGGUAUCUUACCAGAAAGGGACGGCUAACUACGUG
rnacentral:rRNA from 1 species